rnacentral:SRP_RNA from 1 species
UGGAGGGUGGCUCCGACAGGACGCCUCAAAACCCCGCCAGGCCGGAAACGGAGCAACGGUAUGAGGCAGAAUGGGUGGGGCCACUUUUCGUUU